rnacentral:rRNA from 1 species
CAGUAGCCGCGGGAAUACGGAGGGUGCAAGCGUUAAUCGGAAUUACUGGGCGUAAAGCGCACGCAGGCGGUCUGACAAGUCAGAUGUGAAAUCCCCGGGCUUAACCUGGGAACUGCAUUUGAAACUGUCAGGCUGGAGUCUUGUAGAGGGGGGUGGAAUUCCAGGUGUAGCGGUGAAAUGCGUAGAGAUCUGGAGGAAUACCGGUGGCGAAGGCGGCCCCCUGGACAAAGACUGACGCUCAGGUGCGAAAGCGUGGGGAGCAAACAGGAUUAGAUACCCCUGUAGUCCAUGUCUCUUAUAU